GGGAUAGAAGCUCAGUGGUUGAGCAAUCGAUUGCAGUUAUGUUGCGUAAGCCGUUGCGCACCUAAUACGUCAUCGAUAGGCCGCGUGUUCGAUCCACGCCUGUCCCU